UACGGAGGGUGCGAGCGUUGUCCGGAAUCACUGGGCGUAAAGGGCGCGUAGGUGGCCUGUGGAGGUCUGCGGUGAAAGCCCGGCGCUCAACGCCGGGUCGGCCGUGGAUACUCUCGGGCUUGAGCUUACUAGAGGCAGAUGGAAUUCCGGGUGUAGCGGUGGAAUGCGUAGAGAUCCGGAAGAACACCGGUGGCGAAGGCGGUCUGCUGGGCAGUUGCUGACACUGAUGCGCGACAGCGUGGGGAGCAAACAGG
rnacentral:rRNA from 1 species